rnacentral:rRNA from 1 species
GGGUAGAGUAAUGCGUGACCAACCUGUCCCAUGCUCCAGAAUAGCUCUUGGAAACGGGUGGUAAUGCUGGAUGCUCCAACUUGACGCAUGUCUUGUUGGGAAAGUGUUUAGUGGCAUGGGAUGGGGUCGCGUCCUAUCAGCUUGUAGGCGGGGUAAUGGCCCACCUAGGCUUCGACGGGUAGCCGGCCUGAGAGGGCGGACGGCCACAUUGGGACUGAGAUACGGCCCAGACUCCUACGGGAGGCAGCAGCU